rnacentral:rRNA from 1 species
GAUGAACGCUGACAGAAUGCUUAACACAUGCAAGUCAACUUGAAUUUGGGUUUUUAACUUAGGUUUGGGUGGCGGACGGGUGAGUAACGCGUAAAGAACUUGCCUCACAGCUAGGGACAACAUUUGGAAACGAAUGCUAAUACCUAAUAUUAUGAUAAUAGGGCAUCCUAUAAUUAUGAAAGCUAUAAGCGCUGUGAGAGAGCUUUGCGUCCCAUUAGCUAGUUGGGGAGGUAACGGCUCACCAAGGCGAUGAUGGGUAGCCGGCCUGAGAGGGUGAUCGGCCACAAGGGGACUGAGACACGGCCCUUACUCCUACGGGAGGCAGCAGUGGGGAAUAUUGGACAAUGGACCGAGAGUCUGAUCCAGCAAUUCUGUGUGCACGAUGAAGUUUUUCGGAAUGUAAAGUGCUUUCAGUUGGGAAGAAACAAAUGACGGUACCAACAGAAGAAGUGACGGCUAAAUACGUG